CGGAGUGUAGCGCAGUUGGUAGCGCGCGCGGUUCGGGAUCGCGAGGUCGUGGGUUCGAAUCCCGCCACUCCGA
rnacentral:tRNA from 1 species